AAGUCGACCGCCUGGGGAGUACGGCCGCAAGGUUAAAACUCAAAUGAAUUGACGGGGGCCCGCACAAGCGGUGGAGCAUGUGGUUUAAUUCGAUGCAACGCGAAGAACCUUACCUACUCUUGACAUCCAGAGAACUUAGCAGAGAUGCUUUGGUGCCUUCGGGAACUCUGAGACAGGUGCUGCAUGGCUGUCGUCAGCUCGUGUUGUGAAAUGUUGGGUUAAGUCCCGCAACGAGCGCAACCCUUAUCCUUUGUUGCCAGCGGUUAGGCCGGGAACUCAAAGGAGACUGCCAGUGAUAAACUGGAGGAAGGUGGGGAUGACGUCAAGUCAUCAUGGCCCUUACGAGUAGGGCUACACACGUGCUACAAUGGCGCAUACAAAGAGAAGCGACCUCGCGAGAGCAAGCGGACCUCAUAAAGUGCGUCGUAGUCCGGAUUGGAGUCUGCAACUCGACUCCAUGAAGUCGGAAUCGCUAGUAAUCGUAGAUCAGAAUGCUACGGUGAAUACGUUCCCGGGCCUUGUACACACCGCCCGUCACACCAUGGGAGUGGGUUGCAAAAGAAGUAGGUAGCUUAACCUUCGGGAGGGCGCUUACCACUUUGUGAUUCAUGACUGGGGUG
rnacentral:rRNA from 1 species